AGUGAACGCUGGCGGUAGGCCUAACACAUGCAAGUCGAACGGCAGCACAGUAAGAGCUUGCUCUUACGGGUGGCGAGUGGCGGACGGGUGAGGAAUACAUCGGAAUCUACUUUUUCGUGGGGGAUAACGUAGGGAAACUUACGCUAAUACCGCAUACGACCUACGGGUGAAAGCAGGGGAUCUUCGGACCUUGCGCGAUUGAAUGAGCCGAUGUCGGAUUAGCUAGUUGGCGGGGUAAAGGCCCACCAAGGCGAGGAUCCGUAGCUGGUCUGAGAGGAUGAUCGGCCACACUGGAACGGGGACACCGUCCAGACUCCUGCGGGAGGCCGCAGUGGGGAAUAGUGGACAAUGGGCGCAAGCCUGAUCCAGCCAUACCGCGUGGGUGAAGGAGGCCUUCGGGUUGUAAAGCCCUUUUGUUGGGAAAGAAAAGCAGCAGGUUAAUACCCCGCUGUUCUGACGGUACCCAAAGAAUAAGCACCGGCUAACUUCGUG
rnacentral:rRNA from 1 species